rnacentral:rRNA from 1 species
GACAGAGGGUGCAAACGUUGUUCGGAAUUACUGGGCGUAAAGCGCGUGUAGGCGGCUAAGUAAGUCGGGCGUGAAAUCCCACGGCUCAACCGUGGAAGUGCACUCGAAACUGCAUAGCUAGAGUCCUGGAGAGGAAGGUGGAAUGCUUGGUGUAGAGGUGAAAUUCGUAGAUAUCAAGCGGAACACCGGUGGCGAAGGCGGCCUUCUGGACAGUGACUGACGCUGAGACGGCGAAAAGCGUGGGGAGCAACAGGG